rnacentral:rRNA from 1 species
GGGCCCGCACAAGCGGUGGAGCAUGUGGUUUAAUUCGAAGCAACGCGAAGAACCUUACCAGGUCUUGACUUCCCUUUGAAAAGUAUAGAGAUAUACUCCCUUUUCGGAGCAAAGGAGACAGGUGGUGCA